CGUAAUGAUGGUGGCAGGUGUGCGUAAUGAUGGUGGCAGGAGUGCGUAAUGAUGGUGGCAGGAGUGCGUAAUGAUGGUGGCAGGUGUGCGUAACGAUGGUGGCAGGAGUGCGUAAUGAUGGUGGCAGGAGUGCAUAAUGAUGGUGGCAGGAGUGCGUAAUGAUGGUGGCAGGAGUGCGUAAUGAUGGUGGCAGGUGUGCGUAAUGAUGGUGGCAGGAGUGCGUAAUGAUGGUGGCAGGAGUGCAUAAUGAUGGUGGCAGGAGUGCGUAAUGAUGGUGGCAGGAGUGCGUAAUGAUGGUGGCAGG
ensembl:lncRNA